rnacentral:lncRNA from 1 species
AAACGCAUCCUAUUUUAUGUGCUGUUGCAACUCUUGUGUUUGUUCCUUGUGUGGUUCCAUGGUGGAUUCAACCUAUACAACCAGCGGUAUCCUCCAUGGACUUUGUAACCACUUCAACUGAUGAUGAACCAGUCCAACAGAUCAGGGCAACCUUUGUAACCAAGCCCAAGAAGUCCCUUCUAACAACUGUGUAACAUUUAACCCCCCUUACUCCCCACCCCUCUUUUCCCUUCUGCUUACUUUUUCUUUCCUUCUUUCUCUCUCUUUCUCUCUUUCUCUCUUUCUCUCUUUCUCUCUUUUUUUUCUCUCUCCCCACCACCAGGAACGGUCAUUUGCACAGCAGUUUCAAGCAAUCUUGUUUGGGCUCAAAGCUUGCUUCCUGAGGUAUUUCUUGUGAUGAGACUGACUUGUUUAGGAGAUGAGUGAUGGGUGUUGCCGUGUGGCAAUCAACAUCACUGUGUGGAAAAUUUUAGCUGUCUGCCUUCGGAAGAGAGUGGUGCUGGGCAGCGGUCCUUCUCCGAGGGCGUUUAUCGCUGCUCAGAGCCGUUUGUGUUCUCUCGCAAAAGACCUACAGCUCCAUCAGGGCGCGAGCUGACCCACGGCAAACGCCCCGUGCUCGUCCUGUGUGGGGGAAGCGCUGCAGAAGUGGUACUCACUGGGUCUGGGGGUGACGGUGGUCUCCGUUGUCGGUCGUCCGCAAAGGUGGGCGCCCGGAGCCACGUACUUCCCGUUCCUGGUGAUGGCGGGCUCCACAAAGUAGCAGGGACCUGGCCCUCAGCUCUCGGCCGCAGGCGGUUUGGUCCCGCGAAACGUGUAUGCAGGGGCACGGGUUUGGUGGGGCUGUGGCCCACGAAACCUAGGAGGAAAAGCAGAAGAGAGCACACCCCUGAGCAGCUGCACAUUUCAAGAUCCUGUGGCAGGGCUGAGCGCCAGCGCAAAGCCGCUGCAGGUGGAGCAGAGGUGGCUCAGGGAGCUGGGCUACGGAGAGUUUGCAGUUUCUGCCUCGUACAUCGUGGUACUCCCCGAAUGCCGCUUGCAGCCUUCAGCAGAUGUCUCGUCUCUCUCGGAUGCCGAGAAAGAGCGACUUCAGCCGGAUUCUUGUCUCCGACUAGCGGCUUCUUUUGCGCACAUCGCAAAGGAGUGGUUCUGACUUCUCCUUGUUUCCUUGCAUUCCGCACUACGCUUCUCUCUCAUUCUUACGUCUUUCCCUUCAUUCCCAGCGACAUUUCGUUUUUUUGUGUUUAUCCGAUGCUACACUUCAGCAUUCUGUGGCGAAAAGAGUGUAAGGGAAAAGCCCCUCUAAUAAGGCAGCUAGAAGUUCC